GCCGCCCCACGGCGGGGCCCCAGGGCGGCAGGGAGUAGAGGACGGGGCAGAGGGCGAGGGCGGAGGGCGCUGGCGGCGGCGGCCGCAGAAGAUGAGCAGCAGCUGCUCAGGGCUGAGCAGGGUCCUGGUGGCCGUGGCUACAGCCCUGGUGUCUGCCUCCUGUCCCUGCCCCCAGGCCUGGGGCCCCCCAGGGGUCCAGUAUGGGCAGCCUGGCAGGGCCAUGACGCUGUGUUGCCCUGGAGUGACUGCUGGGGCCCCGGUGUCCUGGUUUCGGGACAGGGAGACAAGGCUGCUCCAGGGACCUGACUCUGGUCUAGGGCACGAACUGGUCCUGGCCCGGGCAGAAAGCACUGACGAGGGCACCUAUAUCUGCCGGACCCUGGAUGGUGCACUUGGGGGCAUGGUGACCCUGCAGCUGGGCUACCCCCCAGUCCGCCCUGUUGUCUCCUGCCGAGCAGCUGACUAUGAGAACUUCUCCUGCACUUGGAGUCCCAGCCAGGUUAGCGGUUUACCCACCCGCUACCUCACCUCCUACAGGAAGAAGACGGUACCAGGAGCUGAUGGCCAAAGGAUGAGUCCAUCCACAGGGCCCUGGCCAUGCCCACAGGACCCCCCAGGGGCUGCCCGCUGUGUAGUCCAUGGGGCAGAGUUCUGGAGCCAGUACCGGAUCAAUGUGACUGAAGUGAACCCCCUGGGGGCCAGCACACGCCUGCUGGAUGUGAGCUUGCAGAGCAUCUUGCGCCCUGACCCACCCCAGGGGCUGCGGGUAGAGUCGGUACCUGGCUAUCCUCGCCGCCUGCGUGCCAGCUGGACGUACCCUGCCUCCUGGCCCCGCCAGCCCCACUUCCUGCUCAAGUUCCGGCUGCAGUACCGUCCAGCACAGCAUCCAGCCUGGUCCACGGUGGAACCGGCUGGAUUGGAGGAGGUGAUCACGGACGCUGUGGCUGGGCUGCCCCAUGCCGUGCGGGUCAGUGCCCGGGACUUUCUGGACGCAGGCACCUGGAGCGCCUGGAGCCCCGAGGCCUGGGGUACUCCGAGCACCGGGCCCCUACCGAAGGAGAUACCAGCUGGGGGCCAGCAACACGCGCAGCCAGAGGAAGAACCUCAGGCGGAUAGCCCUGCUCCCCCAAGACCGUCCUUCCUACCAGACCCGCGGCCACUGGACCACAGAGACGCCCUGGAGCAGGUGGCUAUGCUGGCAUCUUUGGGAAUCUUCUCUUUCCUGGGACUGGUGGCUGGGGCCCUGGCACUGGGGCUCUGCUUCCUUUUUGUGCUCCAGGCUGAGGUUGAGACCAGAUGAGAAGGAUGGACCCCAAAAGUCUGGGUUCUUGGCCCCAAUGAUUCCAGUGGACAAGCUUCCAGGAGUCCCAAACCUGUAGAAGAUCUUGGAAGGCUUCAGCUGAUUCCACCUAUAACUCUGUCUUGCUGGUGUGGAUGGACGGACAGGUGGAACCCAGGCAGGACAGUAGAUCCCCAUGGAGGGGGGUUCUCAGCUGGAAGUUCUGUUUGGAGCUCAUUUCUAUGAGACUGUGUGUUCCCAGCUUGCCAGCUGAAAGGUGCCUGGACCUCUGACUUCAUCCCAGAGUUGGAGGUCCACCUGAGGAAUGUGUGUAGAUAUGUAUGUCUGUGUCCAUGUGUGUCCAAGUGUAUGUGAGGCAGGGAACAUGUGUUCUCUGCAUGUAUGUAUAUAGGUACCUGGGGAGUGUGUGUGGGUCCUUGGCUCUCGGCCUUGCCCCUGGCGGGGGUUGUGAAGGUGUGAAUAAAGAGAAUGAGGAGGUU